AUUGAACGCUGGCGGCAUGCCUUACACAUGCAAGUCGAACGGUAACGGGCCUUCGGGUGCCGACGAGUGGCGAACGGGUGAGUAAUACAUCGGAACGUGCCCGAUCGUGGGGGAUAACGAGGCGAAAGCUUUGCUAAUACCGCAUACGAUCUACGGAUGAAAGCAGGGGACCGCAAGGCCUUGCGCGGACGGAGCGGCCGAUGGCAGAUUAGGUAGUUGGUGGGAUAAAAGCUUACCAAGCCGACGAUCUGUAGCUGGUCUGAGAGGAUGAUCAGCCACACUGGGACUGAGACACGGCCCAGACUCCUACGGGAGGCAGCAGUGGGGAAUUUUGGACAAUGGGCGCAAGCCUGAUCCAGCCAUGCCGCGUGCAGGAUGAAGGCCUUCGGGUUGUAAAAUGCUUUUGUACGGAACGAAAAGCCUUCUUUUAAUACAGGAGGGUCAUGACGGUACCGUAAGAAUAAGCACCGGCUAACUACGUG
rnacentral:rRNA from 1 species